CAGUCGCCGCGGUAAUACGGAGGGAGCUAGCGUUGUUCGGAAUCACUGGGCGUAAAGCGCACGUAGGCGGCUAUUCAAGUCAGGGGUGAAAGCCCGGGGCUCAACCCCGGAACUGCCUUUGAAACUAGAUAGCUUGAAUCUUGGAGAGGCGAGUGGAAUUCCGAGUGUAGAGGUGAAAUUCGUAGAUAUUCGGAAGAACACCAGUGGCGAAGGCGACUCGCUGGACAAGUAUUGACGCUGAGGUGCGAAAGCGUGGGGAGCAAACAGGAUUAGAUACCCGAGUAGUCCCUGUCUCUUAUAC
rnacentral:rRNA from 1 species